rnacentral:misc_RNA from 1 species
AAGUCGUAACAAGGUUUCCGUAGGUGAACCUGCGGAAGGAUCAUUAACACGUGUCCAACGUAAAAAACCACCCUGUGAACAUUCAAACCUGCUCUCGUAGCCCAGUGCGAUCCAGCAAUCCCGGUAAAUCAUCGUCGAACAGCUUUUGAUUCGGGACUUCUGACGAAUGAGAAGUUACACCGACCGGUCCCCACGCCCCUUUACAACCCGAUUACCUCUGUGAGUCUAGGCGGACGCACUAGGCUAAAAAAACCUCGAACAACUGUUAACAAUGGAUAUCUUGGUUCUC